GACGAACGCUGGCGGCGUGCCUAAUACAUGCAAGUCGAGCGGACCAAAGGGAGCUUGCUCCUGGAGGUUAGCGGCGAACGGGUGAGUAACACGUGGGCAACCUGCCUGUAAGACUGGGAUAACAUCGAGAAAUCGGUGCUAAUACCGGAUAAUAAAAAGAACUGCAUGGUUCUUUUUGAAAGAUGGUUUCGGCUAUCACUUACAGAUGGGCCCGCGGCGCAUUAGCUAGUUGGUGAGGUAACGGCUCACCAAGGCGACGAUGCGUAGCCGACCUGAGAGGGUGAUCGGCCACACUGGGACUGAGACACGGCCCAGACUCCUACGGGAGGCAGCAGUAGGGAAUCUUCCGCAAUGGACGAAAGUCUGACGGAGCAACGCCGCGUGAGUGAUGAAGGUUUCGGAUCGUAAAACUCUGUUGUUAGGGAAGAACAAGUG
rnacentral:rRNA from 1 species